rnacentral:rRNA from 1 species
GACGAACGCUGGCGGCGUGCUUAACACAUGCAAGUCGAACGGAAAGGCCCUGCUUUUGUGGGGUGCUCGAGUGGCGAACGGGUGAGUAACACGUGAGUAACCUGCCCUUGACUUUGGGAUAACUUCAGGAAACUGGGGCUAAUACCGGAUAGGAGCUCCUGCUGCAUGGUGGGGGUUGGAAAGUUUCGGCGGUUGGGGAUGGACUCGCGGCUUAUCAGCUUGUUGGUGGGGUAGUGGCUUACCAAGGCUUUGACGGGUAGCCGGCCUGAGAGGGUGACCGGCCACAUUGGGACUGAGAUACGGCCCAGACUCCUACGGGAAGCAGCAGUGGGGAAUAUUGCACAAUGGGCGGAAGCCUGAUGCAGCAACGCCGCGUGCGGGAUGACGGCCUUCGGGUUGUAAACCGCUUUCGCCUGUGACGAAGCGUGAGUGACGGUAAUGGGUAAAGAAGUACCGGCUAACUACGUG